rnacentral:tRNA from 1 species
CCCUUCGUGGUGUAGUGGUCAGCGCACUCGGCUAGUAUUCGAGAGGUCCAAGGUUCGAGUCCCGGCGAGGGCA